GCGAUUGUGUUGGAGACGUAUUAGAAUGAGGCUAUGAGCUACACGUCAAGUCCGGAAUUCAAAAGCUUUGCCACUCCUGAUUUCUGUACUCAGUUCAUGUUUACCAAUUUGUAUAACCUAAUUCCUAUUCCGAUUGAAGGAGUUUGAAGUUCCAUAAAAAUCCCCCAAAAGGAAUUGCAGAAAGAGGUUCAUAUUUUCGUUGGUUUUCUUUGCUCAGGUGAUGACGACGAAGAAAACUAACACUUGUGCUAUAUGCGAGAGCUCCAAUCUCGCUUCUAUUUGCCCAGUUUGCGUUAAUUUCAGAUUGAACGAGUAUAAUUGUAGUUUGAAGGUAUUGAAGAGUAAGAGGGAUGCGCUGUACUCAAAACUGACUCAAGUUCUCGUCGCUAAGGGCAAGGCUGAUGAUCAACACAGUUGGAGGGUGCUUCAAAAUGAAAAACUGGCAAGGUUGAGAGAUAAGCUCCGACUUCGUAAAGAACAAGUUGUACAAGGGAAGGCUAAGAUUGAGAAGAUGUCUCAUGAUCUAAAAGUCAAAUAUGAAAUGCUUGAAUCAGCAAUGAAUAUGUUGGAAAAGAAUCGCGUGGAACAAAUUGAGAAAUAUUAUCCUAAUCUUAUCUGCACACAGAGUUUGGGACAUAUGGCAAUUACCUCUGAACGCCUUCACAAACAAUCCGUCAUCAUAAAGCAGAUAUGCAAGUUGUUCCCCCAGCGCCGGGUGAUUGUAGAAGGGGAGAAAAAGGAUGGACACAAUGGCCCAUAUGAUACAAUCUGCUAUGCACGCUUGCCAAGAGGCUUGGAUCCCCACUCCGUUCCAUCUGAUGAGCUUGCAGCAUCUUUGGGCUACAUGGUGCAACUUCUAAAUCUUGUCAUUCACACCGUGUGUGCUCCUGCAAUUCAUAACUCUGGAUUUGCGGGUUCGUGUUCUCGGAUAUGGCAGAGGGACUCAUAUUGGGACGCCCGUCCAUCAUCUAGAAGCAGUGAGUAUCCGCUUUUUAUUCCUCGCCAAAACUUUUGCUCCACUGGUGGUGAAACUUCAUGGUCUGAGAAAAGCUCAAGCAAUUUUGGUGUUGCUUCAAUGGAGUCUGAGAGGAAGCCUCGGUUAGAUUCCUCUGGUGGUAGUUUCAAUUAUUCUUCUGCUUCUCCACAUUCAAUUGAAACACACAAGGAUUUGCAGAAAGGCAUAUCACUCCUCAAGAAAAGUGUGGCUUGCAUCACUGCGUACUGCUAUAACUCAUUAUCUUUAGAAGUUCCCCCAGAAGCCUCUACUUUUGAGGCAUUUGCAAGGUUGUUGGCUACACUUUCUUCUUCGAAGGAGAUUCGAUCUGUUUUAUCUUUGAGAAUGGUGUCAUCAAGGACAUCUAAGCCCGGCCAACAACUGAAUAGAUCUGUAUGGAAUGCAGAGUCAGCCAUUUCAUCAAGCACAUUAAUGGAUAGUGCACAUGCGUUGCCUAUAUUGAGAAAUGAAUUUGAUAGUUAUCUCCCAAGCUCUGCUGCCAGCUAUCUUUAUGCUAAUGAGUUUUUAGAUUUGGGAAAGAAUGAAAACUUAAUUGAAGGAUGGGAUAUCGUUGAACAUCCUACUUUUCCUCCUCCACCAUCACAAACUGAGGAUGUGGAGCACUGGACUCGCGCUAUGUUUAUAGAUGCAACAAAGAAAUGAGUUGAAUUUCCAUAUCCUAUUUUGCUGAGAUGUUUAAUGCUGCAAGAUAUAUGAGGAGCUUAUGGCUAGAUGAACCCUCUGCAAAUAUACGCAGCUCCUUGACAAAUUAUUAGAUAUCGUAUCUGUACAUAAAUGGUUGCGAACUAGUGGAUGACUUGAACUGAAGAAUCAAUCUUUUGCAGUAUAAGCAUGGCAGCUCGACAUCUGUUCACUGACAUCGGCUGGAAUUAGAAGAGCUUGGAAAGGUUCUGAACUGACUUGACACUCACUGCAUGUAAAUACACAAAGUUUGGCAAAGACAAUGCAAGUUGAGGUAAUUUCCAACUUAUGCAGUGGCGUCGUAUGAUAUGCCAUCUAUAUUUUUACUACUAUGACUUUCUGUACAGAAGUUCUGGGAUAGUAGAUUGAAAGAUUCAACUCUAGAUAUUUGUAUACUUCUAUUCUGAAUAAGAAAAGAAGGAAGUAAAUGAUUGUACA